UACGAAGAGGGCUAGCGUUGCUCGGAAUCACUGGGCGUAAAGGGUGCGUAGGCGGGUCUUUAAGUCAGGGGUGAAAUCCUGGAGCUCAACUCCAGAACUGCCUUUGAUACUGAAGAUCUUGAGUUCGGGAGAGGUGAGUGGAACUGCGAGUGUAGAGGUGAAAUUCGUAGAUAUUCGCAAGAACACCAGUGGCGAAGGCGGCUCACUGGCCCGAAACUGACGCUGAGGCACGAAAGCGUGGGGAGCAAACAGG
rnacentral:rRNA from 1 species